UGCGAAGUCACUCAGGUCAGAGAGCCACUCAAGAUACUAACCGAAGCCCACAUCAGAGACCCUUUUCUCUUUGUUUCACAAUGAAGAGCUAACUUUCCAAAAGGGAAAGG